rnacentral:rRNA from 1 species
CCAUCCCAGUUCGGAUUGCAGGCUGNAACCCGCCUGUAUGAAGUUGGAAUCGCUAGUAAUCGCGGAUCAGCAUGCCGCGGUGAAUACGUUCCCGGGCCUUGUACACACCGCCCGUCACACCAUGAGAGUCGGGAACACCCGAAGUCCGUAGCCUAACCGCAAGGAGGGCGCGGCCGAAGGUGGGUUCGAUAAUUGGGGUGAAGUCGUAACAAGGUACC